rnacentral:tRNA from 1 species
GGGCCUAUAGCUCAGCUGGGAGAGCGCUACAAUGGCAUUGUNNAGGGUUCGAGCCCCUUUAGGUCCA